GCCAACGGCCAAACCACGUUGAAUACCCCGGUUCUCGUCCGAUCACCGAAGCUUAACAACAUUGGGCCCGGAUAGUACUUGGAAGGGACACCGUCUGGGAACAGUGGGUGUUGAUGGCA
rnacentral:rRNA from 1 species